rnacentral:rRNA from 1 species
UACGUAGGGUGCAAGCGUUGUCCGGAAUUAUUGGGCGUAAAGAGCUCGUAGGCGGUCUGUCGCGUCUGCUGUGAAAACUCGGGGCUUAACCCUGGGCCUGCAGUGGGUACGGGCAGACUAGAGUGCGGUAGGGGAGACUGGAAUUCCUGGUGUAGCGGUGAAAUGCGCAGAUAUCAGGAGGAACACCGGUGGCGAAGGCGGGUCUCUGGGCCACUACUGACGCUGGAGAAG